UAUUCAGGUGAUCCUCAUCAUUCCUGUAUCAGCAUAAAGAUGACAAAGUUAUAAGUGCUUGCUGUAGGUAUGCACUUACGACCCUUAACCGUAUUUGGAAUUAUUGGAUAGCUGGAUCAGAUUGUGUAUUUGUUUCAUCCUCAACAUAAUUUAAUUGCUUUGAGCAUGUUAGUGUUGUUCUAUUGUUUUGUGCAUAUGCUUUUCUUUUUCCCCCUUUUUUUUUGCAGUUGGAAGUUGGCCAUAGAAGAUAACUUGUACGUCCAGUAUUGAUCAAUUGUUCGUGAUUCGCUUAUGGUUGCGUGGCUGAAGUGACUCCCCUUCAUUAGAAUCUGGAUGCGGUUUCCUUCAACCUUAAGUUUGCAUUUGUAGCCUUAUGGUAGGAAAAGAACAAAAUGAUGUAAUAUUCAUGCGUUGAACCUUUUGAAGUUUCUUAGUAUUAUUUAUUCUUGCUCAUAGAGAAAUAUUUAGAAAAUGUAACCCAGUAUGUGAUGGGAACUCUUGUCCAUGUUUUAGCAUUUUAAUGUGGCAUCCUCUUUUGAUAUAAACAAUAUUA
rnacentral:lncRNA from 1 species